rnacentral:rRNA from 1 species
AACGAACGCUGGCGCCAUGCCUAACACAUGCAAGUCGAACGAGACCUUCGGGUCUAGUGGCGCACGGGUGCGUAACGCGUGGGAACCUGCCCUUAGGUUCGGAAUAACUCCCCGAAAGGGGUGCUAAUACCGGAUAAUGUCUUCGGACCAAAGAUUUAUCGCCUUUGGAUGGGCCCGCGUUGGAUUAGCUAGUUGGUAGGGUAAAAGCCUACCAAGGCGACGAUCCAUAGCUGGUCUGAGAGGAUGAUCAGCCACACUGGGACUGAGACACGGCCCAGACUCCUACGGGAGGCAGCAGUGGGGAAUAUUGGACAAUGGGCGAAAGCCUGAUCCAGCAAUGCCGCGUGAGUGAUGAAGGCCUUAGGGUUGUAAAGCUCUUUUACCCGGGAUGAUAAUGGCAGUACCGGGAGAAUAAGCUCCGGCUAACUCCGUG